UACGGAGGGUGCAAGCGUUAUCCGGAUUCACUGGGUUUAAAGGGUGCGUAGGUGGGCAGGUAAGUCAGUGGUGAAAUCUCCGGGCUCAACCCGGAAACUGCCAUUGAUACUAUCAGUCUUGAAUAUCGUGGAGGUAAGCGGAAUAUGUCAUGUAGCGGUGAAAUGCUUAGAUAUGACAUAGAACACCAAUUGCGAAGGCAGCUUACUACCCGAAUAUUGACACUGAGGCACGAAAGCGUGGGAGUCAAACAGGAUAGAUAC
rnacentral:rRNA from 1 species